CCUACGGGAGGCAGCAGUGGGGGAUAUUGGACAAUGGGGGGAACCCUGAUCCAGCGACGCCGCGUGAGUGAAGAAGUAUUUCGGUAUGUAAAGCUCUGUCAGCAGGGAAGAAAGAAAUGACGGUACCUGACCAAGAAGCCCCGGCUAACUACGUGCCAGCAGCCGCGGUAAUACGGAGGGGGCAAGCGUUAUCCGGAAUUACUGGGUGUAAAGGGAGCGUAGACGGUUAAGUAAGUCUGGAGUGAAAGGCCGGGGCCCAACCCCGGGACUGCUCUGGAAACUAUUGAACUUGAGUGCAGGAGAGGUAAGCGGAAUGCCUAGUGUAGCGGUGAAAUGCGUAGAUAUUAGGAGGAACACCAGUGGCGAAGGCGGCUUACUGGACUGUAACUGACGUUGAGGCUCGAAAGCGUGGGGAGCAAACAGGAUUAGAUACCCGGGUAGUC
rnacentral:rRNA from 1 species